GGGUUGUGAGGUUAAGCGACUAAGCGUACACGGUGGAUGCCCUGGCAGUCAGAGGCGAUGAAGGGCGUGCUAAUCUGCGAUAAGCGCCGGUAAGGUGAUAUGAACCGUUAUAACCGGCGAUACCCGAAUGGGGAAACCCAGUGUGACUCGUCACACUAUCAUUAACUGAAUCCAUAGGUUAAUGAGGCGAACCGGGGGAACUGAAACAUCUAAGUACCCCGAGGAAAAGAAAUCAACCGAGAUUCCCCCAGUAGCGGCGAGCGAACGGGGAGAAGCCCAGAGCCUGAAUCAGCAUGUGUGUUAGUGGAAGCGUCUGGAAAGGCGUGCGAUACAGGGUGACAGCCCCGUACACAAAAGCGCAUGUGCUGUGAGCUCGAUGAGUAGGGCGGGACACGUGGUAUCCUGUCUGAAUAUGGGGGGACCAUCCUCCAAGGCUAAAUACUCCUGACUGACCGAUAGUGAACCAGUACCGUGAGGGAAAGGCGAAAAGAACCCCGGCGAGGGGAGUGAAAAAGAACCUGAAACCGUGUACGUACAAGCAGUGGGAGCCCCACCACCAAAGCAUUCUCUGGUGUUGAAGGCCCUGCAAAGCAGCAUCGCGGUGGCGGAGCGUCGUUUGCGACGCCCAACACACAAAACAAGCGGUGAGUGCUUUGGGGUGGGGUGACUGCGUACCUUUUGUAUAAUGGGUCAGCGACUUAUAUUCUGUAGCAAGGUUAACCG
rnacentral:rRNA from 1 species